GGUAAUGGCUCACCUAGGCGACGAUCCCUAGCUGGUCUGAGAGGAUGACCAGCCACACUGGAACUGAGACACGGUCCAGACUCCUACGGGAGGCAGCAGUGGGGAAUAUUGCACAAUGGGCGCAAGCCUGAUGCAGCCAUGCCGCGUGUGUGAAGAAGGCCUUCGGGUUGUAAAGCACUUUCAGCGAGGAGGAAGGCGGUAAGGUUAAUAACCUUAUCGAUUGACGUUACUCGCAGAAGAAGCACCGGCUAACUCCGUGCCAGCAGCCGCGGUAAUACGGAGGGUGCAAGCGUUAAUCGGAAUGACUGGGCGUAAAGCGCACGCA
rnacentral:rRNA from 1 species